CCGUGAUUUCGGUCGGGGGCAGGGGUGGGGCGUUGCUGGCUGUUCAGAGUCUCCUCCCACCAGUUGCAGGGGUGCUGUGGUCACUGCCAGCACUUGUCCCCAGUGCGGGGCUCGGCACCAUGGGGAUGGCAGCAGAGAGCCGACUCCCGCGGUCCGCCAGCUUCGCGGGCUGCAGAAGGCUGUCCCGUGGGCACCGGGGCACCGGCGAUCGGGGCUCAGAGAAACCGGCACGGCAGACUGUGUGUGGCUCCUGGUCCCAUCUUGGAGCCGCAGGAUUCCAACCAACCAGAGGGGUCUGUGGUCCCCCCGGAAGCCGACGCCAGCUGCAGCCACUGCCAACAGUGUGGGUCAUAAGGGAUCAGAAUGUCCUAUAUGUUUGCGAACAUAAUUCGUCCCAGAAACGUGCUUGUGAUCCAAAGCACUCGUGUAUCAAAGCGAAUUUCCCCGUAAGAAAGAACGGAAGCUCAGAUGAUUCGUUCCACAACCCGAAAAUCUUCAUAUGCAAAGGAUUACAA